CUACGGGUUGCUGCAGUGGGGAAUAUUGCACAAUGGAGGAAACUCUGAUGCAGCAACGCCGCGUGGAGGAUGACACUUUUCGGAGCGUAAACUCCUUUUAUAUAGGAAGAAGAUGACGGUACUAUAUGAAUAAGCGCCGGCUAACUCCGUGCCAGCAGCCGCGGUAAUACGGAGGGCGCAAGCGUUACUCGGAAUCACUGGGCGUAAAGAGCGUGUAGGCGGAUUAAAAAGUCAGAAGUGAAAUCCUAUAGCUUAACUAUAGAACUGCUUCUGAAACUCUUAAUCUAGAAUAUGGGAGAGGUAGAUGGAAUUUCUGGUGUAGGGGUAAAAUCCGUAGAGAUCAGAAGGAAUACCGAUUGCGAAGGCGAUCUACUAGAACAUUAUUGACGCUGAGACGCGAAAGCGUGGGGAGCAAACAGGAUUAGAUACCCUCGUAGUC
rnacentral:rRNA from 1 species